rnacentral:lncRNA from 1 species
GGAAUAUUUUUGACAGGAAAAGAAUUCCUUACAUAGGAUAGGAGGUUGUAAAACAUGAGAAUUUAUACCUGUAGUUGAAUGACCUGGUGAGAAAAAUGGCAAUAUCUAAGUUCAAAUUUGCCUCUGCUUUUUCCUAGCUAGGUGAACUUGGACAGGUUACUUCACCUUUCUGAGCUAAGAUGUCUUCUGUCACAUUAUAAAAUGCAGAAACUAAUACCUACCUCAAAGGAUUGUUCUAAUUAAGGAGUAAAUGACAUAGUGAGUAUAAGUACCUGCCCAAUCGUUGGUGCUCAGUAACUGUUAGCUGUUCUCCCACUCUCUUCCUUUCCCUCAUCCUUCUACUGAAAUCUAGUACAUAAGUCUCUAACACAUGUGCUUAUUUUUGCCUGUUUCUGCUUGUGCUUUUCCUUAUCACAAUGCUUUCUCUUCUCUCCACCUAACGCCAGUUUCUUCCUGUGGAAAUGCUCCCCAUCUUUCAGGGCUCAACUUGAAUGCUGUGUUUUGUGGGUUUUUUUUCAUGAAGCUCAGCACUUUAAAAAAUGUACUAAAAGUGGGAAAGAGGAAUGUACAAUAAUAAAUAUGACACAAGGCUGCAAACUAUAAAAAAUAGUGUCAGGAAAUUAAGUUUUAGAAGGGCAAAGUUCCUGAAAGGUAAUAAAGAAAAAUUAUUUUCAGUGAGGGAGUAAUAACAAGGAAUGGGUGUUGAAUAGCACUGCCUUAGCAACUUCUGUUUAUUUGCCGUGUGUUUUGUAAAAUGAAACAAACACAGUAUGAUGAAAUGCUGAGAGGAUAUAUGAUGUCAUUGAGUUUUCACUUGGCCUUGAUUAAUUACAACUCAGAAGGCUAUAGGAAUUUGCAGAAUUUGGCAUUGUGAAGUCUGAACCACUGUCAUACUAGGAAAGUGCUACAGAUGAGAAGCUACCCGCAGGACUGAAGAUAGGUAACUUGUCUUGAUUUUCAAAAAGCACAAGAGAGAAUAUUGAAGAAUGCAGAAUUGUAAAUUUGCUCUUAGUCUUUAGGUAAAUACGUAUAUUAUCCUUUUACUGUGAACCUCCCUUUUCCUCCAUUGGACUAAUUUCACGUGUAGUUUCAUUUCUAGUCUCUUCCCCCAACCACAUUUGUUUUCCCUGCAACAAGAGAAAUUCUCCUGAAGUACAGUUCCAGUCACAUCGCCACUUCUGAAGCUGUCAGGUGUUCUCUUUUGCCCACCAGAUGAACACAUACCCCUGGGCUGUGACUGACAAUUCCUCCACAGUCUGGCCCCAGCAUGUUCUUCCAGCCACUUACUUCUGCUGCCAUUUUUGAUCCCAUGCUCCUGCUAAGAGGGCGGAUCUAGAAGCCAUGGGUGGAGAUUACCUCACCGUAAGAAAAAUUGUUACAGUACCUGCAUCUGUCCAGUGUCCAAAUGGCUUGCCUUAUGUAAGAGCAUCUCUUCCCUCAAGUUCUUAGCAAAGAGGCUGCCUGAUCACGUCUGGGACCGUGCAGCAGUGUCUUCUAGCAGUUGUUGGGAGGUCUGGUAGACGUCAAGAUCCCUUCUCACUCAGCAGUUCCAUAAUAUCAAGUAGUUCACAGUCUUGGAGGCACAUAGACAGUUCUCUACUUUGAGCAAGUAUUGUCAAGAGUGAAAUCGAAAAAGUAGCCGGAAGAAUUGCUCUUAUAUUGACUUAGCAUACAAAUUGAUCUUUGUCAUCUUUCUCAGAUGCUUGUAAGUUUUAAAUAGACUGUUGAAUCAGGAUAUCUUUUUCUUGUUUGGACUUGAGAUAUAUGUCUGACUAUAGUGUGUAUUUGUGUUCAGUCUUUUCAGUAGGCUCCUAGUUGUCAAACUUAGUUUAGAAAUGCUUCUUUUUGUCGCCUGGCAAGUGGUAUUGAAAUAAUCUAAGUA